rnacentral:rRNA from 1 species
CAGUGGGGAAUAUUGCACAAUGGGCGCAAGUCCUGAUGCAGCCAUGCCGCGUGUAUGAAGAAGGCCUUCGGGUUGUAAAGUACUUUCAGCAGUGAGGAAGGUGGGUAUGUUAAUAGCAUAUUCAUUUGACGUUAGCUGCAGAAGAAGCACCGGCUAACUCCGUGCCAGCAGCCGCGGUAAUACGGAGGGUGCGAGCGUUAAUCGGAAUUACUGGGCGUAAAGCGCAUGCAGGUGGUUUGUUAAGUCAGAUGUGAAAGCCCCGGGGCUCAACCUCGGAAUUGCAUUUGAAACUGGCAAACUAGAGUACUGUAGAGGGGGUAGAAUUUCAGGUGUAGCGGUGAAAAUGCGUAGAGAUCUGAAGGAAUACCGGUGGCGAAGGCGGCCCCCUGGACAGAUACUGACACUCAGAUGCGAAAGCGUGGGGAGCAAACAGGAUUAGAUACCCUGGUAG